rnacentral:rRNA from 1 species
AAAGAACCCCGGCGAGGGGAGUGAAAA